AGAGUUUGAUCAUGGCUCAGAAUCAACGCUGGCGCGCGCCUAACACAUGCAAGUCGAACGAGAAAGGGGAGCAAUCCCUGAGUACAGUGGCGUACGGGUGAGUAACACGUGGGUAAUCUGCCCUUUGGUGGGGAAUAACCCUGGGAAACCGGGGCUAAUACCGCAUAAGCCGAGAGGAGAAAGUCGCAAGACGCCGAAGG
rnacentral:rRNA from 1 species